rnacentral:misc_RNA from 1 species
AAGUCGUAACAAGGUUUCCGUAGGUGAACCUGCGGAAGGAUCAUUACCACAAAACAAAUUAUUAUCAAUAAUUUGAGAACGGUUUGUUAAGAUUAUUUUAAUGUUGUCUAUGGAAUUUGUAGAUUCGUUCAAUUUUCAUAUACUUCGACCAUGUCGUAUGUGAAUAUUGUUCGAAACUAGGGUGGAAACACAAGUUGCUUGACGACAAAGAAAUAAUCUGACAUUCCCAAACACGAUCAUGUGUUUUUGAAUUAAUUUAUUACACUCGAAAACACAUCAUAAUUCGCCUUUAUUAUCUGUGUUCUUUUUUUAAUUAAAAAGAACCGAUAGAAGGUGUUAUUCAUUUUUUAUUACUUUACAUUUUUUAAUUAAAAUGUAUAAAAUAAACUCUGUACAACUCUUAGCAACGGAUGUCUUGGUUCUC